rnacentral:misc_RNA from 1 species
GAAAUGCGAUAAGUAAUGUGAAUUGCAGAAUUCAGUGAAUCAUCGAAUCUUUGAACGCACAUUGCGCCCGCCAGUAUUCUGGCGGGCAUGCCUGUCCGAGCGUCAUUUCAACCAUCAAGUCCCCGGGCUUGUGUUGGGGACCUGCGGCUGCCGCAGGCCCUGAAAAGCAGUGGCGGGCUCGCUGUCACACCGGGCGUAGUAGAUCUCAUCUCGCCCAGGGCGUGCUGCGGGUUCCGGCCGUUAAAAGACCCCCCGUCUUUGACCUCGGAUCAGGUAGGGAUACCCGCUGAACUUAAGC